rnacentral:tRNA from 1 species
AUGGCGGUAGCUCAGCGGUAGAGCGAUCGUUCCGCGUAUGGACUUGCCGCGUGAGGCGAUGCGUUGGUUUUGCGGUGAAUGCAGGUGGAACUCCAUCUGGUAGCCCUUCAUGGGUCGGGUUCGAGUCCCGGCCGCC